GAGGUUGUGGCUCAGCAGUAGAGCACUCACCUAGCAUGUGUGAGGUUCUGGGUUCAAUCCUCAGCACCACA
rnacentral:tRNA from 1 species